rnacentral:rRNA from 1 species
UACGUAGGGCGCGAGCGUUGUCCGGAUUGACUGGGCGUAAAGCGCACGCAGGUGGUGGGGCAAGUGCCGUGUGAAAGCCGGUGGCUUAACUGCCGGAGGCCAUGGCAGACUGCCUGACUUGAGCCCGAGAGAGGUCCGUGGAAUUGCCGGUGUAGUGGUGAAAUGCGUAGAGAUCGGCAGGAACACCCAAGGAGAAAUCAGCGGACUGGCUCGGUGCUGACACUGAGGUGCGAAAGCGUGGGGAGCGGAACGGG